AUCCAGCCGACGAGUCCCAAAUAGGACGAAACACGCGUCCUGGAU
rfam:Schistosoma curassoni strain Dakar, Senegal genome assembly, scaffold: SCTD_contig0002547